AGGGCAUUACUAGCACUUACUUCACAUUCGAUGCUAAGAGGUGGAUGAACUCGGUGUCUUGGAGGAUCCAUCCAUUGGAAAACCUCAGUGAUGUGACCUACCCUCGAUCUUUGGUGGUAUCUUACACCAUAUGAGGCAUUAACGAGUCGGAGUGAACGGACUUCUAUUAGAGCAACAAAAAAAUCCUUUUUCUCCCGGGUAUGGUGUCGACACUAUGCGGGCGAGUUGGGGUACCCACUUGGAGAUUGACAUAGAUGCCCCCUUUUAAAUCCUCUCUCCGGGUGAAGAUGGUUGGCUCUAAAGGGAAGAAGUGGAGGAAAAUGAGCUAAGUAGAGUGUAAAAUGAUUAUGGUGAGCCACCGAUCAAUGGCGGUUGCUCGGUGGAUGACUUGGCUGCAGUCAUGAGAUUCAUGGAGGCUACCCUGCUGGAGCCACAACCCACCUCCCUUUAUCUCCCUCAUUGUAUUUUGUAUUUUUCCCUAUCUCCCUCUUUAUAUUUU